rnacentral:rRNA from 1 species
GAGUUUGAUCAUGGCUCAGGACGAACGCUGGCGGCGCGCCUAACACAUGCAAGUCGAGCGAGGUUCAAAGCUUCGGUUUUGAACCUAGCGGCGGACGGGUGAGUAACGCGUGAGCAACCUGGCCUUCAGAGGGGGAUACCGUCUGGAAACGGACGUUAAUACCGCAUAACAUGUCGGGAAGGCAUCUUCCUGACAUCAAAGGAGAAAUUCACUGAAGGAUGGGCUCGCGUCCGAUUAGGUAGUUGGUGAGGUAACGGCUCACCAAGCCCGCGAUCGGUAGCCGGACUGAGAGGUUGGCCGGCCACAUUGGGACUGAGACACGGCCCAGACUCCUACGGGAGGCAGCAGUGGGGGAUAUUGCACAAUGGAGGAAACUCUGAUGCAGCGACGCCGCGUGAGGGAAGAAGGCCUUCGGGUUGUAAACCUCUGUCUUUGGGGACGAAGAAAAUGACGGUACCCAAGGAGGAAGCCACGGCUAACUACGUGCCAGCAGCCGCGGUAAUACGUAGGUGGCAAGCGUUGUCCGGAAUUACUGGGUGUAAAGGGUGCGCAGGCGGGAUGGCAAGUUGGAUGUGAAAACUCCGGGCUCAACCCGGAGCCUGCAUUCAAAACUGCUGUUCUUUGAGUGAAG